rnacentral:rRNA from 1 species
UACAGAGGGUGCGAGCGUUAAUCGGAAUUACUGGCGUAAAGCGCGCGUAGGCGGCUUUGCAAGCCGGAUGUGAAAUCCCCGGGCUUAACCUGGGAACUGCAUUCGGGACUGCAUUGCUAGAGUAUGGGAGAGGGAAGUGGAAUUUCAGGUGUAGCGGUGAAAUGCGUAGAUAUCUGAAGGAACAUCAGUGGCGAAAGCGACUUCCUGGACCAAUACUGACGCUCAUGUGCGAAAGCGUGGGGAGCAAACAGG